rnacentral:rRNA from 1 species
CCUACGGGAGGCAGCAGUGAGGAAUAUUGGUCAAUGGGCGGGAGCCUGAACCAGCCAAGCCGCGUGAGGGACGACGGUCCUAUGGAUUGUAAACCUCUUUUGUCGGGGAACAAAGGACCCCACGGGUGGGCGUAUGAGUGUACCCGAAGAAAAAGCAUCGGCUAACUCCGUGCCAGCAGCCGCGGUAAUACGGAGGAUGCGAGCGUUAUCCGGAUUUAUUGGGUUUAAAGGGUGCGUAGGCGGACAGUCAAGUCAGCGGUAAAAACGCGGUGCGCAACGCCGUACAGCCGUUGAAACUGGCAGUCUUGAGUAGGAGAGAAGUAUGCGGAAUGCGUGGUGUAGCGGUGAAAUGCAUAGAUAUCAGGCAGAACUCCGAUUGCGAAGGCAGCAUACCGGCGCCCUACUGACGCUGAGGCACGAAAGCGUGGGUAUCGAACAGGAUUAGAUACCCGAGUAGUC